UACGGAGGGUGCGAGCGUUGUCCGGAAUCAUUGGGCGUAAAGGGCGCGUAGGUGGCCCGGUGAGUCUUUGGUGAAAGCGCGGGGCUCAACCCUGCGUCGGCCAGGGAUACUGCCGCGGCCCGAGCACUGUAGAGGCAGGCGGAAUUCCGGGUGUAGCGGUGGAAUGCGUAGAGAUCCGGAAGAACACCGGUGGCGAAGGCGGCCUGCUGGGCAGUGGCUGACGCUGAGGCGCGACAGCGUGGGGAGCAAACAGG
rnacentral:rRNA from 1 species